rnacentral:tRNA from 1 species
UCCGAGGUAGCUCAGCUGGCAGAGCGCUUGACUGUUAAUCAAGAUGUCGUGGGUUCGAGCCCCACCCUCGGAG